UUUGUGGUUGAGCGUCACCUUCCCUUCUUCACUUCUAUUAUUUUCUUCCAACCUCCGCUUGCCUAUUGAUUUUCCUCUAGAUCUCCUUGAGUUCAGCAGGUUUUUGUGCUGGAGAUCUUGAGGUGCUUCUAGGGUCAGAUUCGUUUAUGCAGCUACCGAUCGAUUUCAGCUGCAGAUAUGCGGCAUGGGCUGCGAGUGAAGGUUGUCGAUCUGGUUACCAAAGUGACCAUUCUUGAUGGUGAACCGGUCUACAACUACUGAUGUGCAGCAGCAUCUGAUCGAUGGUGGAGGGCUCAUCACGGAUCAAAUAAUCAGUCCAUUAGGUAAGGACUGAAGGGUUUUUUUUUUGCUUUAUGGCCAUUCGGCCGUGCAAGAUGCGGCUAAUAGAGAUUUUUGCUUAUAAAUUAACUUUUAUUGUAAAAAUAGUUUUACUGGUUGUUGUCGAAUAAUUGGAUUUCUUAAUAGUAUAUA